UCCCUGGUGGUCUAGUGGUUAGGGCUCUGAGCUUUCACAGCUGUGGGCCUGGGUUCAAUCCCUGGUCAGGGAG
rnacentral:tRNA from 1 species